rnacentral:rRNA from 1 species
AGAGAAUAGAUACCCGGGUAGUCCACGCCGUAAACUAUGCAUACAAGCUGUAGUGGAAUUUUACUUCUGCUGUGGCGAAAGCUAACGCAAUUAGUAUGCCGCCUGGGGAGUACGGUCGCAAGACUAAAACUCAAAGGAAUUGACGGGGGCCCGCACAAGCGGUGGAUUAUGUGGUUUAAUUCGAAGCAACGCGCAGAACCUUACCUAGGCUUGACAUCCCACGACAUCCGUAGAAAUACGGCUUUGUAGCAAUACACGUGGAGACAGGUGCUGCAUGGCUGUCGUCAGCUCGUGUUGUGAAAUGUUGGGUUAAAGUCCCGCAACGAGCGCAACCCCUGGAUUUAGUUGCCAGCAUUAAGUUGGGCACUCUAAAUUAACUGCCAGCGUUAAGCUGGAGGAAGGUGGGGAUGACGUCAAGUCCUCAUGGCCCUUACGCCUAGGGCUACACACGUAAUACAAUGGAUGGGACAAAGGGUUCGCCAACUCGCAAGAGGGAGCUAAUCUCAAAAACCCAUCCUCAGUUCGGAUUGGGGGUCUGCAA